GAUCCGAAUCUAUGCGAUCGCAACACCCGAACCGUGUCAGGAAUGAAACAGCAGCACUAAGGGAUGCUUGAGAUAGGCGUAGCGUUCGGGUCUUU
rnacentral:SRP_RNA from 1 species